GGCCUCCUGGCUUAGCACAGGCUGUGUUCUUACACUGACUGCACAGAAAGAGGAGGAGGAGUAAACCCACCUAUGUACACCCCAUCCCGGGCCCUUUGCCUGGUCUGUAUUGUGAAUGGAGGGACAUGG